CCUAGAUUUCACAUAUUUUACAUGAUCGUCCUCAGUGCGUGAGAGGAUUUUUUACUAAUGAAAUAGUAUCAGCAGCCAUUUGUUUCAGUCUGUCCUUAAUGAUAUUUAAUUCCCACCCUAACUCUAUAAGAUGGAUGAACCCACAUCUUUCUCGCUCCAAAUCCUUCAUUCUUUUCAUGAAGUAGAAUGACGUCUAAGCCACUGACAGAGGGAUAAGAAUACGCACGGCUUACUGUUCCCAUGCCUUUCCUGUUAGAGUUCAGACUCACUCACCCAGGAAGGAAAAGGUGGGAGAAGACUGAACUACGGCUACUUGUUGAAGAUGGAUUCUGAUGAUAACCAGAUUCCUGUUGUCUCUUAGUGAGAGAGGCAGAGGAGAGGAUUCAUCGCAACUCUCCUGAGGACUUCCAAGGGCGGAGGAAAGACCCUGACCAAAGGCCUAACAUCUACAUCUUCCUCAACCAGACCUGUCAAAUGCCACCUCAUCCAUAAAAUUUUAUUCUUAAAAUGUUGCCCGGUAGGGCAACUGGGUGGUUCCGUUCGUUAAGUGACUGCCUUUGGCUCAGGUCAUGAUACCAGAGUCCCUGGAUAGAGCCCCACAUCUGGCUACCUGCUCACCAGAGAGUCUGCUUCUCCCUUGGACUCUCCCCAAGUUCAUGCUCUCUCUCUCACUCUCUC